AGCGAACGCUGGCGGCAGGCCUAACACAUGCAAGUCGAACGGACUCUUCGGAGUUAGUUGCGGACGGGUGGGGAACACGUGGUAACGUGCCUUUAGGUUCGGAAUAACUCAGGGAAACUUGAGCUAAGACCGGAUGUGCCCUUCGGGGGAAAGAGUUAUCGCCUUUUGAGCGGGCCGCGUCUGAUUAGUUAGUUGGUGAGGUAAAGGCUCACCAAGGCGAGGAUCAGUAGCUGGUCUGAGAGGAUGAUAAGCCACAUUGGGACUGAGACACGGCCCAAACUCCGACGGGAGGCAGGAGUAGGGAAUAUUGCGGGAUGGGCGAAAGCCUGACGCAGCCAUGCCGCGUGAAUGAGGAAGGUGGUAGGAUUGCAAAAUUGUUUCAGCGGGGACGAUAAUGACGGUACUCGGAGAAGAAGCACCGGCUAACUUCGUG
rnacentral:rRNA from 1 species